AAAAAGAAAGAAAGAAAGAAAGGAAUGAGUUUUGUUUGGUUCCCAGGGGAAAAAUUGUAUCUUUGUUUGUUUCAAAUGUGGUGGCUGUGAAGAUGGCAAGGGUGAUGAAGAAGCUGUAGAAGAAGAAGGGGGAAUCUAAAAGAGGACGAGGAAUAGGAAAAAUGACAACUUUGAAAGUGGGCUAACGGAAAGAAUCAAACAAUGGUUUGUUUUACAGAGAAAAGAAAGGAGAGCGAGUGUUGAAAUACAAGGAAGAAGGAAGGAGGUAAGGUAAGGCUUUCUUUUCCUUUAUUCUUUGCUGCUCAUCUUCCUUUAAUGGGUCUCUGUCUGCAUUUCUUUCUUUACCUCUUCUCACUCUCUCUCAGCUGCUUCUUUUUUGCACUUUGGAGAGAGGGGAUCAAGUUAUAGGUUUCUGGUGGGGAAUUGGCUGGUAUAGCUGUUACUGUAGUGUCUAUGAAUAGAGUGAUUAAAAUGGAUUCAAUCAGUAGCUCCACUAGAACCAAGUAAAUGGGUUGAUUACAGCAACAAGAUGGAGUCCUAAUUCUGCCUGGAAACAAACACUAAACAAUUCAUAAUAAAAACAAAAGUGAUAGAUAGAUAGAUAGAUAGAUAGAUAGAUAGAUGGUGUUCAACAUCAUCUUCCACUUGUAUAAAGUAAAAAAGCAAACCAUUCUUUUUUGCUCAAAUUCAAAGAGCUAGUAUGAAUGAAUAUGAUAUAUGAUCCUUUGCCUUUGCUUUCUUCCUUUUCAUUUUGCCUGGAAAAGAGUGCUCUUGUAUUCUCCCGAUCUUAACUAUUGUUUAGAUUUUUAAAGUGACGAAAUCUUAUAUUACGACUUUCGAAAUCGAAACUUUGGAGCUUUAUAUAUUAGCUAGCUAAUUGACUCGUAGACUUGAAGUGUCGCACAUCGCAGAUUAAGCCAACUAUAUGAAAUUAGUAUUCUGUUGAGCUUGCUAUAUUUAUGUAUUGGUUUUAUAUAUGUUUUAAUCUCCGACCAUCCUAAUUCAUCUACUGUCGUACGUAACUCGCCUUUUACAUUGUGAUCAUUUUAGGCAGGUAAGUGGGUAAACAAAAGAUGGAAACGAGGUUACAAAUUUGGCAUAUAUCCAAAGACAAGGUUUGGAAUUAUACAUAAUAAGGAUUGAUGCCGAUGCAUAUAUUUAUGGUGUGAUACGUUCACAAAUUGUACAUGCAAUUUUGCAAGUUGAAUUAGGGGCCUUUGAGGUGUCUCCAUCGACCCCUUCAAUUACAUACUGCCAGUGGGUGCAGUCCUUUUGUUUUGAACUGUCGCUUUCCGCCUUCCUGCUAGCUACUCCGAUCGAUCUAUGAUGGUUCAAUGUACCAGAUCGAAUCGUAUAACAGUUCAAAAAAAACACUAAGC
rnacentral:lncRNA from 1 species